rnacentral:lncRNA from 1 species
CGCAGUCUCGCGAUAUCUGGCGCUCCGUGUGCCUUUUUUAUUUUUACUACGGCAGUGGUUGCGAAUUUUGUCGCCGGGCUCUGAGCUUUACGGGCGGCCGUGGGAGGUCCUCGGGUGGGCGUUGCCGUCUCAACUGUCAGCCUCCUUGGUGGCGGGACAAGAAGACCUCCCCUCUGUCUACGCCCCUGACUUGGAGAUGGGACAGAAGGAAGGGAAAGCGCAUUCUGGCCGCCUGCUGCCUGAGUUUGAGGAACACUGAAGCGUGGACGCGACCGGAUUUCUGGAGCGAUGCCACACGGUCACGUCAGUCUUGCCUGAGCGAGCCGCUAGUAAGGGUUCUGUGGAAAAUCCAUAUGUGACACUCAAUUGAAGAAGUCGGUUUAAAUCUAGCAGGUGGAAUGGAACUGCAGACCAGUUGCAAAAAUAAGAAUAUCUUCUAUUUUUGCAGAUUUACCAUCCUCAAUAGUCUACAAAAACACAAGGAAUGUUCUGUGAGUCACCAGACUUAUUUUCAUUCAUUCUACAAGCCUGAAUGUCCUUUCUCCCAUCUUCAUGUGUUGACAUCCUGUUCACACUCAGAGUUCUCCUUCAGCCCAUGAAGUUUCUCCUGAUUUCCCCCAAAUAAAUUCAACAUUCUCCUCUGUGUGCCUC